AUUUUAAGUGUGAUAUGAUAAUAUCGCAGGUCGAUGACAGCCUAUAGAAAAGGGACAUUUUUAACAUUUUCCACAUUUCUGAAUAAAAGUAAAGUCAUCAAAACUAUUAAACAAAAAUGGAAGUAGGCCCAAUGGGAAUCAGGCAAUAAAAGGCCAGCAAUAUUGAAGAGGAUUUGUGUGUAGUGUACAGGAGUGAUCCUCAACAAUAUCUCUGAUCUGCUUACAAGAAGUGUAAAUGACUCACCAACAAAACUAUCAGUAUAACAUUUUGUCACUUUAUUCUGUUGCUUUUCACUCUACAUGUUUAAUUUUUACUCAACUUAGAGAUUACUUGUGAGUUGUAAUAUUGUCUUUCAAGUAUAUUUAUAUGGGCCUAAUUGCUGUUUGUAAAAAUGAUUUAUUUUUUCAUGCACAUGUAAAUGCACUUAUAUGUUUGUAAAAUGUUGUAAAUGUUUAAAACUAUACUGCCGGUCAUGAGAGAGAGAGAGGGAGAGAGAGAGAAAUUUCAGUUUUGUUUUAGUACAUCUUGUUUUAUGUCUUGCACUGCUAGUGCUAAUCUUAGCAUUGAUCUCUGAAGAGCUUGUUAUUCACCUCACGUGUGUACGCUUUGAGCACAAGAGACAUGUAACUUAUAAACAUACAAACUAGAGUGACGCUUAAGAUUUUGAAGCGGUUUGGCUCAUCUUCAAAACUCCAAAAGCUACAUAGGUCUUAUGGAUCAAAAUGUGAUUACAAAUCAGAUAUGUUAAGGGUUGCAAAACUUACAUUUGCACUCAGUAUUUAUUUAUUUAUUUACUUUGUUUAUAUGGCGCUGACACCUAGCGGCAUACAGUGCAUCCGGAAAGUAUUCACAGCGCUUCACUUUUUCCACAUUUUGUUAUGUUACAGUCUUAUUCCAAAAUGGAUUAAAUUCAUUAUU